GUUUUCCAUCAUGCAUCGGGUAGAAAAGAGAUAUUCACGAACGGGUCCGAAUUGAAAGUGACUGAUUUACCAAAGAACUGGUCGUUCUUCUGUGAGCGCCAUUCCGACUGUCAAAGGUCUCGAUGCUUCAAUUUCACGUCAGGACUAGACGGCAAGCGACUAAAGAGAGCAUCAGAUGCGGGUGAACAGAAAUGCAAAUGUAAGUAUAAAAUUAUUGUACAUUUAUCAUUUGCCAAACUCGUUAACGUAUCGGAGAAGCUUACGACACGUAACAGAAGCAUGGCAAAAGGACGAAAGGAAAGAGAUGCCGAGUAAAUAUGAGAUUAUUGUGGGGAUGAUAUAUGAUAUUGACCGAGGGGAUCAAUGAAAGUGAAAAUCUAACUAAAGACAAGAAGGCGGGAUAACCGUAAACAUGUCCAUAAAAGGAAUGUUCCUAGUUGUAGUACAUCAUAGUAUUCGAUAUAUAUACCAGGCACAUAAAGAAACUGUGCAUACAAAAAUUUAAAAUCUAAACUUAUCAAACCUGUGUAGACACAUAAGGAU